GAGCAAGGGCGUCGAAUAUAAAAUGGCGUGAAUUGCCUUGAAGGUUGGCGAUAACAAACUGCGAUUCUCCGUGCCUAUCAAACUUGUUUUUGGUAUUGAUAAUGGCCUCGAACAAGUCGCUACAUU
rfam:Eutrema salsugineum unplaced genomic scaffold scaffold_22, whole genome shotgun sequence.